UUUGGUUAUCCGAGUUGUAAUCUAGAGAAGCGUUAUCCGCGCUGGACCGUGUAUAAGUCUCCUGGAAUGGAGCGUCAUAGAGGGUGAGAAUCCCGUCCUUGACACGGACUACCAGGGYUUUGUGAUGCGCUCUCAACGAGUCGAGUUGUUUGGGAAUGCAGCUCUAAAUGGGUGGUAAAUUCCAUCUAAAGCUAAAUAUUGGCGAGAGACCGAUAGCGAACAAGUACCGUGAGGGAAAGAUGAAAAGAACUUUGGAAAGAGAGUUAAACAGUACGUGAAAUUGUUGAAAGGGAAACGCUUGAAGUCAGUCGCGUUGGUUGGGGAUCAACCUUGCUUUUGCUUGGUGUACUUCCUGAUUAACGGGUCAGCAUCAAUUUUGACCAGUGGAAAAAGUUCGAGGGAAUGUGGCAUCUCCGGAUGUGUUAUAGCCCUUGUUCGUAUACAUUGGUUGGGAUUGAGGAACUCAGCACGCCGCAAGGCCGGGUUUUACCACGUUCGUGCUUAGGAUGCUGGCAUAAUGGCUUUAAUCGACCCGUCUUGAAACACGGACCAAGGAGUCUAACAUACCUGCGAGUGUUUGGGUGGAAAACCCAAGCGCGUAAUGAAAGUGAAAGUUGGGAUCUCUGUCGUGGGGAGCACCGACGCCCGGACCAGACCUUCUGUGACGGAUCCGCGGUAGAGCAUGUAUGUUGGGACCCGAAAGAUGGUGAACUAKGCCUGAAUAGGGWGAAGCCAGAUGAAACUC
rnacentral:rRNA from 1 species